GGCUGAAGGCUUACAUGCGAAAGUAAGAUUAUAUCAUGGGAUAAGUAAGAAACUUGGAAUAUCACACAGUCUUCUUAUAUUUCAGGUCCUAUCCUAGGACUAUAAUGAUUCUCUGCUAUAAUGAUUCAUUCAGAUAUGUAUGCUAACCACAAACACGGCAGCUAGGAUAUUGAUAAGCAUUGAAAGUACCGCUCCUGUGUUCCAUUGCUGGAACCUACUUUCAACACUAUGGAUCAUUCUGACCCAGAAAGGCCUCUUGUUAGUGAGACAUGGGCAACGUGAGUAAUGAUUCUCUGAAGAAAAAGUCAGGAGCAGAGCAGAAAGCUAAUGCAUUUUUCUUAACCCUCUUCACCCCCAAUCAGAGCUCUAGUUGGCCCUUAGAGUGAUUUUGUAGAAAAAUCACCACCUUCAGGUACAUAGAAUGUGUGGAAAAUGGGAUCUAGCAAGACAGGUGGGACUAUAUGAAACCCCUUUCAUGUUUGAAGAUUCUCUAGAAAGACUUCAUGGAUGCCACAUGUAGGCAUGUUUAUAGCUUUGCAUUAUCAUGACAAAAAGGAUGCAAAGUAGAAUUAACAAGGGACAGACUCAUGGGAAACACACCUCCCGGAGGACACUGAGUGCAAUGUUUCUAGCUUUCCUCCUGUGUAGCAUGUAGAGUGUCUUCAAUCACCAUCCAUGCUUCCUCCAUGGGAAGUUCAUUAGUUUUUCAUCAUCUGGAGUUUCUGUGAGGAAGUGUGGACACUUAGACAUCUAGCAUGUAUUCAAUCCAGCUGCUACAAAGAAAAGCAUGCACAUACCUUGACCCACAGUUUGUAUAUCAAGCAUAGUAAUAAGGACCUGAUCAAAGUUGAGAAACAGUGGGGCAUUUCAAAAAUAUCACUUUCCAAAUAUUAGCUCUGAGCCAAAUAUGCAAGCAGCUGAUUCUAUCUCUAGCUCUCUCAGGCCUGCUGCUUCCAUUAACAUACAUUAGCACAGCUACAGGUAUGUGAACUCUCAUUGGUAAAGAAGAUGCCUUCAUGUAGCAGGACAGAAUAAUUACAAAGUAGGAUGUGAGUGAGGCUUUGUUCCCGUCUCUCUCCUUGGUCAGACAUAUGUGGCCUAUAGAGCACUUGCCCAGCUUUGCAUUAUGCCUCUACUUUCUGUGGAAGUAUGGCAUCUUAGGACAUGACAGCUAAUUUUAUUUUCUCUUCUCUUCCUAGUGUUCUAAGUUUUGUCUGACAGCAUUUUUUCCACAAACUCUGUUUUCUUUCUUUGGCAUAAUUUUUUGGAUGUACCAUAGGGACUAAUGGAUGUCAUGCUAGGACCUUUGGUGACAUCUUAUUUUUGCCCAUUGGGUACUGACUGUAAGCCUGAAUAUAUGAUAUUUAUCUAAUAAUCCCAUGACUGAUCUUAUUGAUGUCUCUGUGUUUCAAUUAUUUUUUGUUUCAGUUUUCUCCUAGAAGCCUCUCUGUGACACAGGACAGUGCUCAAAUAGUCAAGGUUUAACAAAGUGAAGAUGCUUCCUGUCGAAAUAGCAGCGUUUCUAUUGAAUAAAAUCAAAGUUAUUACUUCAUGGAAAGAAUCAGCACAGAGAGGCCAUCUUUGCCCACCUUUAGAUAACCCUUGAUUGUCUGGUCUCCCAGUGAGUUUGGCCAGGGCUCACUGCCAUGGUAUGGCAUUAGAAUCUAGAGCAUGAUGGUUCGGACAGGGCAAGAAAUUGAGAGUGACUAGAAAUUGACAAUAUUUGGGGAUAAGUAGCAAUUAUACAAAUAUGAAGAAGCCUAUUAGGAUACUAAAUUAAAAGUACAUUAUGGGGUGCUGGGGCUCAUAGAGCUAAUAUUCAGCUAGCUGAGAGAGUAGACUGUAUCUAGUACAAGCAUUAGGAUAUGUGUUUGAAUCCGCAAAACUUGUGUAUGAAGUUGGGGGUAAUCACCCAUUACCUGUAACCUUAGAAUCCAUGGUGAGGUAACAAGAACAGAAACAGAGGGAUCACUGCUUUUUUCCUGCCAUCCUACUUCCAGGUUCAAUAAGAGAGCUUGAGUCAAGUUUAUAAGGCAGAGCAGGACACCUGACAACUUUGGGCUUCUUCAUGCCUCAUGAACAUGCAUCUGCAUUCAACGUACACACACAGAGUGUGUGAAAGAGAGAGAGAGAGAGUGAGAGAGAGAAAGAGAGAGAGAGAGACAGAGAGAGAGAGAGAGACAGAGACAGAGACAGAGACACAGAGAGACAGAGAGACAGAGACAGAGAAAGAGACAGAGGAAUAGAGUGACAGAGAGAGAUAUGUAAGAGAGGAGGAUCGUACUCAAGGUAUGAUGCAGUGGGCAAAUUCAAAACCAGAGCAUAAAUGAGGGGUAGAGCAAUACAAGGCAGAGAAGCAAUUACUUUUGUAAGAACAACUUUGGGUAUUCAUUUUAAAAUGUAUUAUAACCCAUCUCCUCCUUUUGAAAAGAAAUUGUCAAGUGAAAGGGUCAGCUAUCUGUUCCAAAAGUAGUCUGUACCAAAAAUAAGGCUUAAUUUACUCAGGUUUAAUUUAUAGCUUCACAGCUGUCGAAAUACCUAUUCAGGUGGGAAUGCUGGUCUUGUGGAGACAUACCACUGUUAAGGAUAUUUAAUAUUCAAUAAAGCCACUUCCUCAACAUUGUGCUUUAAUAUAUUGACUUGGGUCUCAUUGAAAAUCUGAGACACAAGUUCCAUGAUCUAUAUACUUAAUAAACCUUUAAAUAAUGGAACAGGAUAGACUUGAAGGGCCAGCUGUCUUUGUUUCUGUUUUAUGUCUGCAUUUUUAAGGGACUGAAGUUUAGGAAUUAGACUAGUCUUGGCAGUGUUGCAGAGUUAUCAAAGAUCUUUCAUUCUCUCACAUGGCUUUUUACCAUUGUUGCCACAUAGAAGUGCUUCUUUAUUUAUGCUUAAUACUCUUAUAUUUCUCCACGAUUUUUCCUGUUACUUCUGUGAAGAAUUUGCCUUCCCUGGGGUUCAUUAAUGUUUGAGCUUUACUUGUUAAGCAUUCAAGUUCUGCUUUCAUAGGGGAAAUGAUCUCAUCUGUCAUUAGAUGAAUUCAAACAAAAACAGGGAGUGGAAGUUUAUUGUAGUAUGACUGUGAAAUCUCUUCCACCGACUUAUGUGUUUGAACACUUUGUCCCUAACUGGUGGCACUGUCUGAGAAGAUUAUAGAACCUUAGGAUGAGGAGCAUUGGUGGAAGGAGGGGGUCACUUCUGGAGAGGGGCCAACCUUAUUGAUAGUCAAGCUCCACUUCCUGUUCACUCUCCACUUCCUGACUAUAGAUGCAAGGAACCAGCUACCUGCUGCCAUGUCUUUCCCAUGAUGAGUUGCGUGCGUUCAACCUGUGAAUCAAAACAAACUCUUUCUUUGUUAUGUUGCUUUUCUUAAGGCAUUUUGUCAUGUUAAUGAGAACAGUAAGACAAGCUUAUAGUUCGAAUGGGGAUAAACCAAGUGCAAUGUGAGCUGAUGUUUGGGACAGUGCUUUUAUAUGUCCUAGCUCCUCCCACGCAAAUCAUUUCACAGAGUGACCAAGUGAUGUCUCAGAUCUUACAUUAUUUCCAGAAAGAGUUCUGGACAUCCAAAUCCCUGUGCUCAGACUUGCACAGCAAACAGUUAACUGACUGUGCACUCAUCCUGGCAAUUAGCAGAGAGUUUAUAUACCCUGACUGGACAUCAUAAUGUCUUAACAUUUUGAUUAAAGUUGUAGAUUCCCCAGUGUCACUGGUCAAAAGCUGCUGCAUUGAACCUUCUCUAGUUAGGGGUUAAAUAUUUGUAGUGUCACCAUCUUUCAAGGAAAAGCAGUAUUUGAACCCAAAAUGGCAGACAAAAGCAAGUUAAUAUCCUUCUAAGUUAUGUAUUUUCAGUAUGCAGUAUUCAGAAGAAGGGUGGGAGAGGAGAGCUGAGCUUUUUGUGUAACCAGAGAGAUGCUUUGAAUCUGCAGUUGCUUACUUUAAGUGCCAGUACAAUAAAGAAGGACUGGGAUUAGGGCCAUGUCCAAGGAACCCAAGACAAAGCCAGACAAAACACAAGAGGCUGGUGACUGACGAGGGCAAUUCUCUUAUCCAUACUUAAAAAACAAUCAUUUCUCUUGGCUCCCUCUCUGCUUUUGGCAGCAAGAAAUCUGCAUGGUUUCUAGAUGUGCUUUGCUAUAUUUCUAGCUACUUCUGCCAGCAACUCAAUGUGGAUCGAGGUUUUCCAACCCCCAACUUUCCUAAUCCCAACUCCACCUCCUCCCUCAUGACCUCUUCCCCCACUAUACCACCUAGAAAAAAGGGGUAUGUUAUUAUAGUGGGACAACUAUUUUCUAACAUUUGACACAAAGAGAUAGUACUCAGGUACAAUUUCCCAAACACACGAUUUCAGUCUUAGUAUGGUCUAAGGCAUAAUUAUGAAGGCUGUCUCUGUGUUUGCUGCCUACCAUGUAGUUAACAGGGAGGGAUGGUCUCUUAUUCUCUAUUAAAUGUUUUGAAAGAAAACAAACAGGCAUGGCAAGGUUCAAGCACCAAGCAGAAAUGGGAAUUGGAAUGUCCCCACAUCCAUAGGCAGGCACAAGUUUUAAUUAUCUCCUUAGUCAGUAUUAGUUUUUGUAUUUCUAUCAAAAAGAGAGAAUGAUAACUUGCUUUCACAUACACACAGGGAAUGAAAUUGGUUUGUGAACAUGAUCUGCUUAACUGGUUAGGAAUAUGUCUUGCUUUCAUUUCUCUUACGUUUCCCAUUUCAGUGAUUAUUUUUCUCAUUGUAUUAAUAGAUACAGUAAAUAUGGAAAGAACAAAACUGUGAAAAGAUGAACAACCCAUGACCUCAUGGUUCAGAUAAAUAUGCCAUCAAUCUUUUCACAUGUUUUUAUAUUCAAUCUCUUUUAAAAAGUUAUAUUAAUUAAUUUAUUUUAUUUAUGCAUAUGCAUGUGAUUCUGCCUUAGUUUAUGAACACCACACAUAAAGAUGUCAACAUAUCAGCUAUUUAUUUUAUUUUUAUUGCAACUCUAUCUUUUCAGCUGUCCUUGGUCAGAUGAUUGGUGUUCAUUUAGUUGUGAGCAGCUUCUAAACCUGCUUCGUCUAUGAUACCUUUAAGGAACGUGAAAGAGUGUGGAAAGUGCAUUCCUCAAAAGUAGAAAACUAACAAACUUACAAACUAAAAAACAAACACAAAAAAAAUGCCUACAUAAAGCAAAGUAGCUGAGGAAUUCUGAGUUAGGUUGGCAAUCCAUUCCUUAACAGCUAGAUGAUGCCCACCAAACUUCACAGUUGUAGCCCUUUCUGCUUAUGGGAAAGUAAAACUGGCUAAUUCCCAGAGUUGUGCUAAUUAAUGAUGACCUAUGGGAUCACUUAAUAAAUGUUGACUUUACUUGAAAUCAUUCUAGGCUAUGCAUUGCUAUAAAUCAUUGAACAUCUUUUAGCUAUAUGUCAGUCUUUAAAAGGAGUCAUAUAAAAUAUGUCUUGAUAUCCUGUGAGACUGUAAGAGACAGAAGAAACUGUUAACAUUUGGCAGUCACAUCAAAAUCUCUAAUCAUUGAAACUCAGCAUUUGUUUAGGGAGAAGAGUCUGUCAGUAGAGUACUUGCUGCACAUUCAUGAUCUUCUGACCUUGGACAUCUGGAUCUGCAUGAAGAGCCAGUGAGACUACUGGAAACUACCUGUGACCCAAAGGGUAGUGAGGCAGAGACAGGUGGACCCCUGGAACUUUCUGGAUAGUUGAUCCAGAUGAAGCUCCAGUUUCAGAGAGGGAGAGAGAGAGAGAGAGAGAGAGAGAGAGAGAGAGAGAGAGAGAGAGAGAGACAGAGAGACAGACAGAGACAGACAGAGACAGAGAGACAGAGUGUCAGUCUUAAAAACAAAGGUGAGGAAUGACAGAGAGAGAAAUUGAAAGUCAAACUCUGCCCUCUGUGCAUACACCAUCCCAUGCAUGUGUAAAUAUAUAUAUAUAUAUAUAUAUAUAUAUAUAUAUAUACACAAAAUGCCUUCAAUAUUAAUUAUAAAACUGUGGGAAAAAUCAGGAAAUGUAUGCUUAAGACAUGCCUUCCAGUUUCUGGUUUUCUUUUUCAGGGAAUUGGAGUUGAGUUUGUGGUAGAAUAAAGUCUUAUAGGGUUUAAUGACAGUAUACUUUUAAGGAUCCAAGAAACAUAUUAACAUAUUUCUGCACAACAGUGAAACUAUUGAAGAAGAUAACCCAUCUUGGUGAUGGGCAUUACCUCAAUAGAGGAGACUGAGAAUGUCAGACAAUCAGCAUUGGAUUUCAUCUUUGAAAAGGAGAAUGCGAGGACCAAAAAGACUGAGUGAGCUGUCAGGGUAUAAGCUUUAAGGAAAAAAGAAAUUGAGAUGAAAAUCCAGAUCCCAGCUUUCACCUUCUUCACCCCUUAGGUUUUCUCAUACUUCAUCAGAAAUCCUCACCUAAUAUCAUCUCUAUGCGUUUUUCAAAAUGCUAUCUAGGUGUUCAAGGAAAUGGAUAAGCGGUUAAUAGAUCUUGUGGGUCUUCCAGAGGAUCUGAGUUUAACACUGCACGUUCCUACUGGGCAGUUCAACUGGAACACUAGCUCCAGAGUACCUGACACUCUAUUUUGGCCUGUCAGUUCACCUAUCCAUGUGUGACAUACACAUUCAUACACAUGCACAUUAACGCAAAUUAAAUUAAAAUAAUAAAUCUGAUUUAGAGUAAAACUAAAGGUAGAUUUCAUUACAUGUUCCACAUUGAGCAAAUUUGCAGAGUGCCUAUAUUUUAUUAUAGUUGCCAUUCCUUUCAUUCUCCACCCUAUAGCCCAGUUUCUAUGGCUUAGUCUUUUCAUUCAAAUAACUCUUUUUAAUAGAAAUAAAUCUCUUGUGGAUUUUUAUGUUAUAUGUCAAGCUCCCUUAUGAAUCUGUCUAAAACAUCUGACGAUUACAUAAAUCCCAGAGCAGCAGGGGCUUGCCUUCCACACAUCUAAUUAACCUUUAAUUGUCUAUUGUGACUGCCAUGCAGUUCAAUAGUUGCUUGAUUUUUAUUAUCCACCUAAUUAGUGUGGUUUAAGUGGCUUUUUAUGUCAGAUUUUAUUAUAUCAGCUUGCUUACACAAUUUUAGAACACACCAGGGAGUUCUAAUAAUGUUAAUGCUGAAGUGUUCUAUGUAUAUGUGUUUGACUUCCCUUUUAAGGCAGAAGUGCUUUGACCAGUUUCCCCCACUAGGGUGUAUGAGUAGUCCAUGAAAUUCUUCAAUGCUGGCAAAAGGCUUUCCAUUAAUUAUACAUCAAUUAUGAACGCAGCCUGUCAUCCUCAAGUGGCUUUUCUACACAAUAAACCAUCUUGGAUUUUUGAAACAAAGGGAAAGAAAAUACAUUAUAAUAGUACAAUCCAGGAGCAAACUAGCAAAUGCAUGUAUUUGUGAAAUUGUUGCUCAUCUUGCCUUUGUGAUUUGUCAAUGGUAACUGUCAACUGUAACUGUAUGAGUUAUGCAUCGAUAAAAGGAGGGUGAGGCCCACACCAGUGUUACUUAUGCAAAUUUGGGCUCUCUGUACCAUUAAUUCCCUUUCAUUUCUUAUCUUUGCUUCUGGGAAUCUUCUAAAAAUCAAGAUUCACCUUGCCAUCAAUGGAAUUAUUUGGAUUUUCAUAUUCCUAUUGUGUUCUGUGAAAUCGCUAUAUAAUUGGAUAUUAGCCUGAGAGUAACUUGUUCUAUUCCUACAGAGCAGACAGUUGUUUCUAAUACUGACUGGAGUUAGUUUUCCCUGGUCUCUAUAAGCUCUUCUGUUAUAUUCUUGCCUUGAUUACUUAGCUUUAAAAUAGAAUUAAGAUAUCUGUUUGGGCUAGGGGGAGAACUGAGGGGAUAAAGUGGUGGCUGCACAAAUGUAAGAACUUGAGUCCAGAUUCUAAAGAUCCUAGUGUUCCUACAGAGAAAUUGGAGGGCAGAGACAUGAAGCAAGGUGGACAGCUUGGACCAACACCUGACCCUGUCUUCUGACUUAACAUGUGGUGACACAUAUGUGCUUACACAUGAUAGGUCUACUUACCUCUCCACCACACAUUAUAAAAGGAAUGAAAGUAAUUAUUUCUAUAAUUCUGUUCCUGAUUCUGUGUUUUUGAGUGACAAAAUAUCUAGUGUUUUAUACUGUAUUGUGUUUUGUGAAUCGGCGAAAUGUUAGUGGCAAUUGCCUCACAUCGGAAAACAAUGGCACAGUGUAGAAGGAGAGCACUAGGAUAGGCUGUCUCCACACAAAAUAGGAAGUAAUGGGUCCAUUUUGUCUCUGGUUCAUUGUUUAGCCUUAGGUACACACCAUGCUCCUUACAAUCUCAGCUGGUAAACAAGGAUUUUCAGUCAGGGGAAAGGAAGAACAUGCCAUCAGUUACAAUGGACUAAAGUUAUCUAAAGAAGUCAUAUAUUAUCCUGGAUUAAUUGUCAUAUAUUUACUGAAUAGCUUCUGUGUAUUAGGGAUAGAAAGGAGGAGCUUGAAGAUGCUGACUAACCGUAGCAUUUUAUCAGAUGUGUGCACCCUACCAACACUUAACAAAUAAAAAUAUAAUAUAAAUUCUUUGGUUAAGUUUGGGUUGGGAACCAGUGAUACAAAGAUUAAUUUGAAAUCAUUCACAUUGCCUCUGUGCUCACUAUUUGACAAGUGACAUCCAUUUAAUGUUAAUUAUUUUUAUAAUGCGAUAAGACAAAGUCGAUAAAUGCAAAAAGAGAAGACACUUGGAUUGAGACAUGCGUGAAAAGCUCUUAUGUUUGUUACCAUGUUAUAAAUGUGAUGGGGAGAUCACCCAGUAGGCAAAGGCACUUGCUCUAUAAUUCUGGUUUCUUGGGUCAAUCUUAGGAGCCCACAUAAAAAAGGCAGAUUGUGGGCACGUGCAUUGGUAAUUUCAGCACCAUUACAGUAAGGUGGGAGAUGGAUAGGGAAGAAUUUCCCAGAAGCUCAUGGGCUGGCUAGCCUAGAGAACACACAUGAGAAGUGCAAAAACAAGAGGGCCAGCAGAAAGAAUGGAAACCGGUGGCCUUGGGAGGAAGGAGCUUGGGAAGACCCUCUAAAAUGUACCAGAGACCUGGAAAGUGAGAGACUCUCAGGACUCAAAGGGAGGGACCCUAGAUGGAAGACCCUACAGUGGGGAGAGGGAACUUAUUGAAUCCACCUCCAGCAGAAAGACAGGGCAUCAAGUAAGGGAUAGGGUUGCUAUCUCACAGCCAAAGCUCUGACCCAUGAUUAUUCCUGUCUGAAAGAACUGCAGGGAUGGAAAUGGAGAAGAGCCUAAGGAAGGAAAGGUGCAAGGACAGGCUCAAAAGUAUAUUCAGCUCAAGGGGAGGCACCAAGACCUGAAACCAUUACUGAAGCUAUGGGACAUUUACAUAAAAGGACUUCCAUGGCUGCUCUCCAAAAGACCCAACAAGCAGCUAAAAGAAUCAGAUGCAGAUAUGUGCACCCAACCAAUGAACAGAAGCUGAUGACCCCUCAGGUUGAAUUAGGGAAAAGCUGGAGGAAGCUAAGGAGGAGGGCAACCCUGUAGGAUGACCAGCAGUCUCAAUUAAUCUGGACCCCUGAGAUCUCUCAGACACUGGAUCACCAGCCCGACAGCAUACACAAGCUUAGAUGAGACUUCCAACUCAUAUACAGCAGAGGACACCUGGGUCUGCAUUCAGUCAGGAAAGAUUCACCUAAUCCUCAAGAGACUGGAGGCCCUAGGAAGUUUAGAGGUCUGGUAGGUUGGGUGGUGUACGGACAUCCUUGUGAAGACAGGGGGGAGGGAGUGGGGGGAGAAGAGGUAUGGGACAUUGAACCCUUAGGGGAGGUGGACCAGGGGGGAAUAAAAUCUAGAGUGUAAAAAUAAAUAAAUAAAAUAAAUAAACAAAUAAAAUAAACAAACGAAUAAAUAAAAGAGAGACUCUUCCUCAAAUAAAUUGAAGAAGAGAACUUUGAACUCCCCACUCACAAUGUGGAUUGAACACACCCUUUCAUGAACAAAAUAAUUACAAACAAAACAAACCUGAAUUAACCAUGUUCAUGAGUAUACACUGUCUAUGGAUACAGCAAAUAGCAAUACUGAUAAAGAAAGAAAUAGAAAAUAAUGGUGUCUCUUUGGGUUGUUGCUUUUGAACUUCUUUUCCUGAAUUACUCAUAAGACCUUUGGUGUCUGUGUGCUUGUUCAUGUUUGUGAAAGAAUACACACACACACACACACACACACACACACACACACACACAGACACACACGUGUUGUGUGUGCAGAGCCAUGAGACAAUCUUGAUUUUUUUUAUUCCUCAGUGACAUCUACCUUUUUCCCCAUUUUUGUCCUAAGAUGCGAUCUCUCAUUGGUCAUUCAUUAAGUAGGCCAGAAUGAUUGAGUGCCAGCGAUCUUCUAGCCUCACCUCCCUAAUGCUGAGAUUACAACUAUGUACUGCCACACCCUGGGUUUUGUCACAGGGGCUAUGAGAAUUUGAUUCACUUUCCCAUGUUAGUAGGACAAACACUUUAGUGACUAAGCCAUCUUCCCAGCCCAUAACUACAUUUAUUAUGCUGUGUAACUUUGUAGAGCUUUCCAUUAAAGCUCCCAUUCCAUCCACAGUAAUGGUACUGAUUGAUUUAGCUUCCCUCAGUGGAAUAUUUUACGCCAAGGAAGAGACACUUUGGCAGUUAUUAGCUGGAUUUUGGAAUUGUGAGAAGUUUCUUCUAGUAUAUUUAUACUAUCUUUAGCUAAGUGAAGGAGCAUGCUUAAUGAAUCAGUUGUUCUUCAGCCUCUGAAGCGAACAAAGAAACACACACACACAUACACACACACACACACACACACACACACACACACACACACACAUAAAAUCCAACUGGAAGCACAGGUUCAAAUUAAACUCAACUCAAAGUCAUUAAAACUAGAUGACCAUAAAACGUACUAGGGAACAUUUGAAUAAGUGUAGUUGUAAUAUGGUUAUCAGAGUUUGCUGACAUUGCAAUUGUUGGGGAAAGAACUAUUAACUGGUUAAUAAAGUAAACCUUAUAAUCCCAAAGUAAAAGCUCCUUGUUGCUAAAGAAAAAAGGGAGAAAGAAGAAAAAGUAAAGUAACAAAAUGCAGUAUGUAGUUCUUGCUUGGGUCCUGGUUUUAAAAUACGGCUAAAAGAAUUUGAAGACAAUUGGAAAAAUAAUUAUGAAUUUCUAUUAAAUCCUAUUCAGAAGUCAUUAACUUAAGUUUGGAAGUAGGUUAAAAAGCUGCAAGUUGUAGAAAUGUAUAUUAAUCAUUAAACAUUUCUAACUCACAUGUGAAUAAUUUAUCUAAAUUUAGUUAAAAAUAGAUGCUGUAACUAUGGUAAGAAUUAAUGUCAGUAAAAUUUAGAGAACAGAUAAAAGAUAUUUAAUAUUCUUGAUUCUCAUCUUCCAAAUUUUCUAUGUGUUUUGGUAUUUUGUUGUAUAUGUUUGUAAGUGUAUGUAGAUGCAUUUGUGUGUAUAUUUGCAGAGCCCAAAGAUUGAUGCCAUGUACCUUCCUCUAUUUCUCUCCAUCUUAAGUUUGGAGGCAGUCUCUCCAUUAACCUGGAGUUCACUUAUUUGGUUAGUUUGGUUGAUGAGGGAGUUUAUGUGAUCCGGCUGACUCUGAUUGCCUAGCACAGGGAUUAUAACCAAUCUUUCGGUUUCUGAACAGAUUGAAUUAAUGUUUUCAUGCUUUGGUGGCAAGAACAAUAUUGAAUGGCUAUUUCCUGAACCCUGGCAUUUUUGAAUAUGCGCGUGCGCGCGCGCGCGCGCGCGCGCGUGUGUGUGUGUGUGUGUGUGUGUGUGUGUGUUUACCCCCUGAUACUCCUGCCUCCAUUUUGUCAUGGCUGGAGUUACAGGCUAGAAUUAUAGUUCUGGUGUAGGCAGUUCUGAAGAUUGAACCUAGUACCUCUGGGAUGCUACCCACAGAGGAACAUCCCCAGCUGAAUAUAAGAGACUAGUGAAAAUGCAUAGAGGGGAUCAUCCACAUUGCCACUCCCUUUUUGAUUAGGUUCUGAAUUUAAUGUGAUCUUUAUAAUGUCUUCAAAGUUAGGUCAUCUUUUUAAAGAAUGAUGUCAGUAACCUUCAUGGAGGGAAGUGCAAAUGUCAUACUCGGUCUCUUCAAUGGAUACCAAAGUAAUACAGUUGGUGGUCAAUGGAUAGUUUCUGUCCACUUUAGUAAUACAUUUAAUGACAUUCCUGGUAGUAGAAGCAUGUAUGUGUGUGUGUGAGUGUGUGAGUGUAUGUGUGUGUGUGAGUGUGUGUGUGCGUAUGUGUGUGUGUGCGUGUGUGUGUGUAUGUGUGUGUGAGUGUGUGUGUGUGCGUGUGUGUGUGUGUGUGUGUGUGAGAGAGAGAGAGAGAGAGAGAGAGAGAGAGAGAGAGAUAAAGAUUUGUUGAAUGACUAAUUUCAAGCAGUGUCUUUUAAACCUACUGGCUAGAGAUUGUUCUAUAUUAGCUAUGGCAAUGUUGCAGGGUUUGCUGCCCAUCUGAGCUAACAGCACAACAAAACAGAGUGUGUACUCACAUAGCAAACAAUCUGCACAAUUGUUUUUUCCAUGUCUCUGUGCUGAGCUAAAUGUAUUUCGAAAGGGCAGGAUUAUGACACAAACAUCCAGACAUAGAUACUGCUGGCCUAUAAGACUGUCAGUGAUAAAAACGUUCCUCAUCUUAUUAAUACAGCAAGUGGCAGCACCACGUUAUAAAACUCUUUGAUCAUGUGUCUUGUGCUUACUCUGUGAUUGUCAGCACUCUGGAAGUGAUUGGCAAGUAGUGAACAUUUCUCAAGUGUAAAAUUUUAAAGAGAUAUACAAUGAUUUCAACUGAGUGAUUAGACAUAAAGCCUCAGCCAUCAAGUGUCUGAGUCUAGCUAUUAUCUCUUCUUGUAACAACACAAAGAUUAAGAAACUGAGGGUUUCACGAAGAGAUGAAAAGUCAGUGUUAUUAAUACUGAGAUAUACUCCCUUUUAAAACAUUUCUCCAGAAUGUUGUGAUACAAUUAUUUAUCUUGUCCCUUUCCAGUCCCAGGAAAUAAGAUAUGAUGGAUAUUUUUAAAGAGAAGAGUGAGGAUUUGGACUAAAAGUCUUGCGUGUAUCCAGUGUUGAGUUUUAAAAUUGUGAUAGUCCAAGUAAGGAUUAAAUAUAAUGAAUGACACCAAAACAAACCAGAUCGUUAUUGCUAUGUGGACUGAACCCUGACAAAGAAAACUAAAUUUCUAGGGUUAGAGAGAUGUCUCAGCACUUAAGAGGGCUUGCUGAUCACAGAAGCCACAUUGAGUGGCUAUUUACUCCCUGUUCUUCUAGCCAAAGGGGACCCAGUGUCCUCUUCUGGUCUCUUUGAGCUCCAUGCUUACUUCUGCCUAUGUGGCAUAUGUAUACACACACACACACACACACACACACACACACACGCACACGCACACGCACACGCACACAAACACACACAGUAUCUUUUUAAAAUCCUGUAUUUUCAAUGUUUCUUUUGUCUUUGGUACCUGUGGAGGGAGUGGGUAGAAAGGAAGCUAGGGAAACUGUGAUUGGGAUGUAUUGUAUGAGAGAAGAAUCUAUUUUUCAUUAAAAAAUAUGAGAGCUAAAAUGAAUACUGAACAAAUGUAAUGUGUAUAACAAAGCAGGAACAUUAAGUUAAAUAUCACCUAAAUUAAUUGACUCUGAACUCGUGAGACAACAGGAGGGAUGCCUGGACUUUUUAAUUUGUCUGAAUAAAUGUCUCCAUCUCUGUAUCCAUUUAAUGUGUGGUAUAGAGCUUGAGAGUUCAAGUUUGCACACUCCCCGGGCUUGUCGAUAUUAAUUAGAAAGGUUUGACGUGGGAGCACAGAACACAUGUUGAAAAGGAGAGGGCAUUAUGAUUGCAUGUUGGAAAUUUAUUUCUUGUGGGAAAGCUUGAUUGAGUAACUCACAUGAUCUGGUUAAGAAGCAUGAGAUGGUAAGUUUUGAGCAAACUGGGAACACUAUUGAUUAUCAAGAAGAAUUAUAGAAAAGGACCCAGAAGUUUGUUUAGAGGUUAAAGGUGUUUGCUUCCUGGCCUAAUGCCUGGAAUUUGAGCACAUAACCAAUGAGGUAGAAAAGAUAGUAAACAUAUAUGCAUUGUGUCACCCAGUAAAAUACACUUUAAAAGUAAACAUAGGAGAAAUUACAUACCACAUGUUUCUAUACAUAUAUAAUGAGGUCAAAUGUGAGAAGAAAACAUAAAAUAUCUUUUAGUUUAGAACAUUUGAAAACAUACUUACAUACUAAUAUACUUGGCACAACAUUAAAACAUUUAAAUAAUCUAGAAAAAAAUCAUGCAGCAGUGGACAUUGUUCUCCAAUAUUAUAACAUUUGAAACAUGGGGUUGAAUAAAUGUUAAGAUUGUGUACUGCAGUUCUAGAGGACCCAACCUGAGGUCCUAGCAUCCAUAUCAGAUUGUCUACCAUCCUCUGUAACUGUAGGUCCAGGAUAUUCAUUACCUUCUUAUGGCCUCAGUGGGUACCUACAUGCAUGUGCCAUACCAAGAUGAAGACACACACACACAUACACAUAAAUAAAACUUAGAAUACAACCGUAUAAAAUAUUCAAACUGCCUUAUCUCAUUUAUUUAAAAUAAAGAGUUCAUAUUCUCUAGUCUCACUUUUAUCUACUUCUCCUAAUGAAAGGAUCUUUCAAAAGUUAGCUUUUUUCAUGCUAACCCUGAGCCUAAAAGAUUUUGACAGUACUGUCUCUUUUGCCCAUGUGGUUUCUGACAGAAGGCUGAGAACCAUUGCAAUAUCCGUUUCACUCUACAAACUGCAUGCAAAUAACAUUUCUUCAGCUUCUUCUUGAAGUUACUCUGCAGGAGGCUGGAUGAAAGGCUGGAUGGUUUUUAAAUACCUUUAUCAUGACCCCAAACCAGCUUUUCUUCCAUACCUGUACAACCUCUAUUCUCCCUAAGACUACACCCAUGUAACUCAAAUUUUCUACUGAAAACAGCCUUCUGUGACCCUUGCCAUUGCAGCCUAAGGCAAAGCCCUCUUAUCAAUAAACUCCUACUAGGGUAGUUCAUUUAACACUCCUACCGUGUGUGUGUGUGUGUGUGUGUGUGUGUGUGUGUGUGUGUGUGUGUGAUCUGCAAGGAUGUAUCUGUAUGUGUGCAUGUGUGUAUGUGAAUGUUCAUGUGAAGGCCCGAGGUCAAUAUUGGGUGUCAUCCUAAAUUGCUCUCCCUUUUAACUUUUGAAACAACUUUUCUCAGCUCGACUGGCGGGCAAGUGAGCCCCAGGAACAAAUCUGUCUCUGUCUCCACACAGCUCGGGCUACAGAUAUGCGAUCAUGCCUGGUUCUCUUUUUACAGGCCUGCUAGGAAUCAGACUGGGGUUCUAAUGUUGAAACAUUUUAAUAUAUAAAGCUAUGUUCAAUUUAAUAAUUGUUGUUCCCUUCUUGUAAGAGUAUGACAAAUUGAAAAUAGUAUAUGCUAUUACACUUAUUUCCUCUCAGAGAAUGGCAUAAUAAGAGUAAGGAUUUCUGAAAAAGUCAUAAGGAAUCAUAAUACUUUACUAUUCACUUAAAAUAUCCUUAUAAUGUAUUUAGGUCUGUGUGUAAAUGUACAUAGACAGUGUUUUCUUAAGUGGGCUGACAAUGGUCCUGCCAAGACCCAAAGGUCAACUAAUAAAAUCUCCCACAUUGGGUGUAAGAAUGCUUCUUUUGAAUUGCUGGCCAAGAUUGUGCAAGAGACUCCCAAAACAUACAGGGUAUUUUUCUUGCCCCUGGUGACCCCCUAGAGAUAAGUUAAAUCGCUCUUGCUGAAGGUAGCAUGAACUUCAGAAAUAGGGCUCAGAGAACUCUGAGAUGGAGCUGACCUAUAAGCCUCCUAUCUGAAGUCUAGCUCUCAUGGUACCAGAAGGUGCCCUGCAAGCUUCCAAAGGAGGAAGGCAGCCAACAGUACUGCCCUGCUAUGCUGUCCAUGAACCAUAGUAAUAACCAGUAUGGCAUGAGAACCCUAAGAGUCAGUAGUGGCAUAUAUACCUUUGUGGUAACCAACAACUCAGCCAUUGGAUUUAAGACCCACUAAACAAAAAAGAAAUAAUGCCUGGCGCUGGAAACCCCACCACUAUAUAGAGCUAGUGAAUCUAGGAGGAGAAUUUACAACUACCAUUUUACUAAACCAGCAUCAUCCCUAAGGACACUCCAAUAUUUGUCUCUAUGCCCAGAGACACUGUAAUCCUCAUCCAUAAACAGGGAGCUUUCUCUUUCCAACAGAUGGAGACCAGUACAGAAAUCCCACAACCAAUCAACAUGUAGGGCUUUAGAGCCUAGUCCAAUGGAUAUGUAUACAAAAUAACUUCAGCAUAUCAGGCUCAGCCAGCAUUGCUGUAAGUGGGGGGUGGAAAGACUGUAAGAGGAAGAAGAUCACUGAGUUUUCUAUGAGGGUGUAUCUCCUAGUAAUGGCAGAGGAUACACUCAUAGCCUCAUCAUUGUAUCUGUCUAAACGUGAACUGAAGGACAACUAUAAUAGAACAAAGUGGAUGGGAAGAGCCCACAAGGCUCCAGAACUACAAGCAAUUAAGGAAUGCUGAGAGCAGUAGAAAUAGUCUUCCCCAAGGAUGAGCACAGUAGUUGAUUACCCAACACCAAACAGUGAUCCCUGAAAACAUACAUAUAGGUAACAUUACACCUAGCAGGUCGUAUUUAUGCAUAUGCAUAUACAUGCAUAUAUGACUAUAUUAACAAUCAAUUUAAAAGGAGGCUGUGAAUUUGAAAGACAGAAAGGAAGGUGUAUAGAAGAGUUUGGAUGGGGGGUGGACAUAAAGCAGAAACAUUGUGUUUAUAUUAUAAUUUCAAAAAUUAAAAAAAAAUGAAAGUAGUUUUUUUUUUUUAAAGAGAGAUAAUAUCUACUCCUGCCUUGAAUGCCCAGCUGGUAUUUAUGGAUGCACACUGUAUUUUAUUUUUGCCAUAUUAUCAGAGGUAUUUAUUUUUAACAAAUUUGAAAAUAUAAGAGAUAGUAGAUACAGCCCAGUGUCCUUAAGGUAUUUUUAAAUAUACAUUUUAUUUGUAACGAUGUGCGUGUAUGUGUGUUGGGAGAUAUGCAUGUCUGAGUGAAGGUGCCCACAGAAGUCAGAAGAGGGCGACAGAUACCAUGAGGCUAGAGUUACAGGUAGCUGGGAGUUUCUCCAGAUGGGUGCUCAGACUGAGGUCUCAGUAAGAAAAUGUGUUGUAACGAUUGUGUCAUCUCUCCAGAACUUCCUCAAAGGGUUUAUUGUUCUUUUAAAUAACAUUUACACAUAGAAAAGCAAGAUAAUUGACAGUAUGGGUAUGAGCAGCAAUUAUCUCUCUCUGAGGUCUGGGAACACAUGAUUGGAACCUGCCUUAGUAAAUGAUUUUGAGAUCCCAUGGAUGUCCUGAACUAAUGUAAGUAAGGAAAAUGAACAAACCUGGGGUGGGAGUGUAAUUUUCAUACAGUGGCCAUGAGCAAAUCAGUCUGUGUAAAUGAAACCUUCAUAGUUGUCAUGUAGACAGAGAGUGGGGGUGGCCUUUCUGAGGGUGGUUAAAGCCUUUUAAUUACUGCUUGUUCAAGACCAUCAUUUUCCUAUUCAGAACAUUAAUUUAGCUAAUUGUAAUGGACCAACAUCCUUGUGGUUUAACUGAGGUUAAAUAGUGAAGUCUCAUACUCAAUUUAAGGUGAAAAAGAAAACUAUUAUAAAGUAUUAUAAAAAUCUCUGCAUGUGCCUGCUACCUCUCACCCUAGGAAUUACCCAGAAACUCUCUAUGUAAUUGACAGAGCACAGCCAUUUAUUUUAUAGUACUCUUUACUCUUGUGCUUUUAUUUUAAACAGUAUAUCCAGAGUGCUUUAGAUGAAAGAAAUAGGGCGAUUAAUUGGCAAAUUGCAAACUUCUGAGUUAUGUCCCUGUCUUUAGCCCUAUUUUACAAACCAUCUGUAUUUAUUAGCAUAAUAGGACAUCUACACAACCUGAUGAAAUAUUCAGCACCUCGAGACUUGGGUGUGAUUCUCUCUCUCUCUCUCUCUCUCUCUCUCUCUCUCUCUCUCUCUCUCUCUCUCUCUCUCUCUCCCUUUCUGGGUGUCUGUGUAUAUCAUUUGUCUUUGGCGGUAGCCACAGGAUGUUCUCCAAAUCUGGAGGAAUUGGUCAAAUAAGAAUCUAACAUCACUGCCAAGAGAGGAUGGGUGACUGAAUCUUAUUUUUCAAUUGGAAGUCAUUAUUCAGAUCCUAAGCCAUGUAGAGACAGACAUGGAGAUGGAUAAAAAGCUCCACGGGUUCCAGAGAGACAGGAAGAAUGUGACCUUACCCACUGUCUUAUAGUCCUGUGUACUGUUCAGUAAGAAUAAAACAAAUGGAAAUAGGGUUGAAAAUGUAGUCUGCAAUGGGCAGACAGAUGAGGGUACUGGGCAAGCCUUUAACUGUGCACAGUUGUCACUGCUCCCUGACAGUUGUAAUGUAAUACCAACCACUGGGAAUCAGACUAAUUUCUCUCUCACUGUCCUUACUCCUUAGGAAAUCCAAUGCUAAAACUUAGCCUUGUCAUUGUUCCUUCCCUUCCAGCCAUGUGCUUUGCAUUGUGCUAUCUACUUGUUCCAUCAUAUGUGACUAUCACAUGGUCCAUAUAAGUCCCUCUGGGAAAAAUCAUAAACUCUUAACUGAGCUGUAAACUUUACCCACAUUCACAGAGAUCCCAGGUAGUGAAUAUUGGGUUUCAAUGAACCUUUAUCUUCAAAGACUUACUUUCUAGUGAGUAUUUUAUCACCCAGUGGAUCAUUAGUGCAUAUAAUCACGAUAUGUUCUGAUACUUUUCUGGAUAUGACGAGAUCCAGAGUCAUGAGACGAAAAGAUUCAUUAAUUUUUAUGUUCUUAUAUGCUUGUGUGUGAGAGUGGGGCUCUGCUUCUGCUGCGACACCUCUAUGGAGGUCAAACAUCUAUCUCUGGUGUUUGUCCUUACCUUACAUCUUGUUGGAGACAGUCCCUUGAGUUUUCCAUAAGCACACUAGGCUAAAGUAUUCAGGAUUCUAUGGAUUUAUUUUUAUAUCUCUUACUCAUAACCAUAGAAGUGUGGAGAAAAUAUAUACUUGUGUUAUAUGUCAGGAUUUUACAUCCUUUCUAGGAAUUUGAACCAAGGGUCUCAUGAUUCUAUAGUAAGUGGUUUAACCACUGUACCAUCUUUCCAUUGUAGGGCAGCAUCUAUUAGCUUCAGUAGUUUGCCACUCAAUUUUACUUGCAUACCCUCUCUUACUCUCUAAGCAUGUAAGGAAACACACAGGGCAUUCUUAUUUCAUUGGUGCAGCCUCCUUUAAUUAACAGUAUCUAUCAUUGUCUUGAAAACACACAUGCUUUCAUGUGUGUGUUUCAAUACUCUUCAAAAUGAUCUCAUCCACUGUUGGUACAUGAUUGUACUGUCCUGUGCAGAGUACUGUGCAGGGUACAAAGAAAUGACCUCAGUCUCAAAGGAGCUAAGUUUUAGAGUCAUUUUACUAUUUAACAUAUGGAGGAUGGGCAGCAUAUAUGUAGAAGCCUAACUGUGUUGGAGAAGAAAGGUCUUACUUUUCAUGGUUGUCUAAGUUCUGAAAACAAGGGCUUAUGGCUUCCACACACUGAUGGAUACCACAAGCUGAGAGAGUUUUAGAAAGACAGCAUUAGAGGAAAAAAAAAGGGUUAAGAUUUGGGCACUAGAUGUUAUUUGUCUGCCAUGCAUGAAUUAACCUUUUAUUUCUGUACCAAGCAGUUAGAUUGACUUUCUGCCAUAUAAAAUUAAAUGAGUCUAGCUUACAUGGUACAUAUUCCAAGAAUUGUUGACAAUUGGAAGUGGCAGAAGGAGCUAAGGUUAGGGUAGGGGGAGAUGGCAUGCUUUAAAUGAAUGCAUUACUGCAGAGCUAUAAUAGAGUGAAGGCAUUGUAUAGAAAAUAGGACUAUUUCCAGAUGUUUCCUAUAUUGUGCAAUGAAGGCACAUUUGAAUGAACCAGGCUGAUGGCAUGGUGACCUUUAAAGCAACAUAGCAAACAUGCACUGAGCCUUAAAAUGCAAUGCAGAAACAACACAUUUCUUACGUUAGUAGAAAAUGAAAAGAAGAUAUAAUUGUAAGCAUGCUAUCAGACACAAAAUAUUAUAACAUAUACUUACAGAAACAUUGAAUGUUGUCUGCUUAGUAAGACAUUCUCCAAAGUGAUGCUAUUUCUAUUGCUCCCAUAGCUCAUUUUAAAAGAUAAACACACUCUAAAUAUAAAAUAAGCAAACCAGAGAACACAGUAUUCGUUCAAAUUAUAUUUUGAGGUCAUCCAAGGUAUGCUUCUGGUUCAUUGCAAUUUGAAGAUUUUUUUUUAUAAACUGAUUUUCAACUGAGAUUUUGAGAAACACCAAGGCAAGUAAAAUUGUCAUGCUUUCUCCAAUGAAAAAAAUAGCAACGGUUAUUUUGUAAAUCCUAUUUAGAAAGCCACAUAGCAGCUAAAAUGCUGAAGGAAACAAAUAGUUUAAGAGUUCCAGAAUGCAAAUGUCUGCUUUCUUCUGAGAAGCAUCUAAGUGGGUCAGGCAAGGUGGCUCAGCUGGUUAAAGUGCCUGAACUCCAGAUUGAUCAUGGACAUUUUUCCUGGACUGAUACCAUGGAAGACAAGAACCAGUUCUCUUAACUGUCCUCUGACCUUCACGUGGGAAUCAUGAGGAUGUGUUUGCACACAGACAGACAAACACAUAGACAGACAGAUAGACACACAGACACACACAAACAUGUGCUUACAGUUGCAAACACAUGCAUGCACACAUGUACAUAAACACAAAAAUAUAACUGUUUUAAAGUGAAAGUAUGAAUUUAUUUGGUAAAUGUAAAUAGAGACCAACUUGACAAAUAUAGAAGAAGGAGGAUGAGGAGGAGAAUAAAAGGAAGAAGAGGAGGAAGAGAAAGAGGAACAAUACAUAAUGUUGGUAAAGUAAAUUAGGGGAAUUUUGAGGCAGGGAAUGAUGGUAGCUAUGAUAUGAUCAUAUUCCAUGAUAUAUAUGAAGGUAGUUCUCAAGAAUAAGGAAAUCAAACAAUAAAACUUUUAAUUAAAAAGCACCACUGUGACAAAUACCUGAAACAGAUUAAAGGAGGAUGCAUUUAUUUGGACUCAUUCAAAGUUGAUCUGCCCUCAUUGCUGUGGGUCUGUGGUAAGAAAGAAUCCCAUGAUAGCAGGAGCAUGGGAUAGGGAAAGCUUAUCAAUUUGUGACAAUCAAAACAUUCUUUUGGGUUGCCUUACCAUUGGUUAGAUUUAUUGGAAAUCUAAGUUACUCAAAAUAGUAAUUAAAAUAAUCAAGCUAUUUGAGUUCACCAAAUACUUACUGAGUACUUAUUGUGUGCUUCAUAUUAUUUAGUUUUUACAUUGAUGCAAGCCAUGUGCUUCAGGUUCCUACCCUGUCAAACGGGGAUGGUAAUAAACUCCUAGGGUUGUUAGAGUGGAUGGUUUAAUUAAGCUAAAGUAAGGACUUGCAAUGAUGGUGCUUGACAAAUUCUAUAAAUGAUUUUGUUGCUGCUCUACAAAUAGAUGUGCACAACAGAAAUGUGGGAGUGUGGAAGAAAUAAUGAAAGAAAGCAAAUCCCUAGUUCUACUCUUGGACUAAAUCUUUGUGAAGACAGUAAUGUAGUUUAGAUAGGUUUCUGUCAGAAGGCCAGGUGUUGGUUCCAAAAGCAGUGUUGACAGGCAGUUUGUGACACAAGGGGUCAAUUUUGUUAAUAGGUUAAUCCCUUGAAGAAUCAUGAACAUGAUGCCAAUUUUGGAAUGUGGGAAAGAGUAGGCCAUGAGACAUAGUUGAAGAAAAUAGGUAACUGGGCCUGUCUGUCUGUCUCUAUGUCUUUGUCUCUGUCUCUCCCUCCCUCCUUCCUUCCCUCCCUCCACCCUCCCUCCCUCCCUUCCUCUCCUUUUCCCUCUGUUUCUUUUCUGUCACAAAUCGAUAAGCUUUCCCUAUCCCAUGCUCCUGCUAUCAUGGGAUUCUUUCUUACCACAGACCCACAGCAAUGAGGACAGACCAACUUUGAAUGAGUCCAAAUAAAUGCAUCCUCCUUUAAUCCAUUUCAGGUAUUUGUCACAGUGGAGCUUUUUUAAUUAAAAGUUUUAUUGUAUUAUUUCCUUAUUCUUGAGAAUUUCUUUCAUUUGUGUCAUGAAAUAUGAUCAUAUCAUAGCUACCAUCAUUUCCUGCCUCAAAGUUCCCUUAUUUUACUUUUCCAACACUAUGUAUUGUUCUUCUUCUUCCUCUUUCUCUUCCUCCUCCUUUUCUUCUAUUCCUCCUCCUUCUUCUUCUAUACUCAUCGAGUUGCUCUCUAUUCAAGCCAAGAAUCAGAAAACCUCUCAGAAGAGGAAGGGGAAAGACAGUAAUAAUGAGAGAAUUAGGGGGAAUGCAGUGAAAUCCUGUCAUCUGGUCAUACCAUACUGUGGCACUCAAGAACUCUGGUUCUCUGCAGAAGACCUGCACAGGAUCAGUUCAGCUAAAAUCUCACCCUAGAUUCGUGAAGUGCUCCCCACCAACAGUAUUUAAUUUUUUUCUGCUUUUUGGUGCUAACAUAUGGAUUACAUGUAAAUUUUAUGAUAAUGCAGCAGUAUGAGAUAGAGUUAGAAUCACCAGGUAGCAGAUAACACACACAGUAAAUAUAAGCCAUCAAAAUAAGUUGACAAUACAAUAAAGAUCUCAUUUGUCUUCAGCAACUAUUCACUCUUACCAUUUUUGUUUCCCUCAGAGUUCUGUUUAAUUCCUUUGCUCUGCACAUUGCUUUCAAGGAAUAUUGUUUAAUUUAUGCUACAAUAUACAGGCUCAAGAGAUGAUUUGGUUUUAUUUUUGUCUUUGAUUUGCUAUUUACCCUUGAAAUGGGGUCUCUCAGUGAACCUGUCAGCCUAGCAGCUACUAAACUGCAGUGGACCUCUUGUUUCUGCCCCUCCUCCAGCACUGCUGUGUUAGGUACUUUAAUAUUUUUCUUGAGACCUGGAGGUUUGCAUGUAGGUCCUCAUUCUUGUCCAGGAAGCAUUAUUUUCCAUUUGGGCCAUGUUUUUAUCCCCAAUGAUCUGCCAUUAUAAAACCUUAAAGGGAUGAAAAUAAUUACAUAAUAUUUUAAAGAAUCAAGUUUGCUCUACAAUUAUGAUUAAUUUAUAUAAAUUAGAGUUUAAAUAAGGUUCAUGGCAUAGUGAAUUGAUUGCUUAGAUUCUUUAUCUACUUAUUUCUUUUUACUUUUUGGCAGUUGUUUCUCUGAGGGUGUAAUGAAGAAGACACUAGCUAGUGCUUCUUACAAGUUUGCUACUUCUUAACUUUCCUUCAUGUUUCUCUCAGGUGUCCUGCACAUGAAAUUCUCAUCCCGUUAUCCUCUUGUCAGUCAUUGGAUAUGCCUAGAGGUUUUAUUAAAUUUAGACAUGUGUGUAGGCGGGUGCAUGUGGAUUUGUUUGCAUGUGUGUGAAUCCAGAGGUUAUUCUCAGGAUUCUCAGAGGAUCAUUUCUCAGGAUGAUCAGACUUUUUUUUUUCAACACAGCUUAUUAUCCUUUAACUGUAUACUCACUGAUUUGAUUAGAAUAAGUAGUCAGUGAGCAUCAAGGAUGUGUCUGUCUCCACUUCCCCAGUACUGAGAUUACAUGUGCACACCACUUACCACAUCUUUCACAUGUGCCUGGGAAGUUAAAUUCACAUUUUCAUGCUUGUGCAGCAAAUGCCUUAACCAUUGAGAUAACUCCCCAGUCCUAAGUUUAUCUUGUGAAGGAAAGAUUAUUUGGACUAAUAUUUUGUGACCAUAGCUAAUUAUUAUUCAGGUUGUUGUAAAGUAUCAUUAUUUUGAUUUCUUUUCCCUGAAAAUGUUUGCACACAAAGGCGAUCUCCCUUUAUCAGCAACUUGGUUGUCAUGAGAUACAAGAGGAUAAAUGGUUGAUACAUUUGAUUUACUUAGAUCAGCAUUUAAACCAUUAAAUCAGGGUAGGUAAGAUGACACAGAAGAUAAAGUUGUUUGGUACCCAAACUUGACAACCUAAGUUCAAUCCUUAGACCCCAAGGUGACAUGAAGAUGUCCUCUGACUUUGAAAAUGUUCCUGUAUGUAUAUUGUGAAGUAUUCAUCAGAGAAGGCUAUGGGACAUGCAUUUAUUAGAUAGUCAGCAACUACUCUGGAUGCUUAGGGCCUGUGUCCAGUCCCAAGCAUUUCUCAGACUUACCUUUAAAGGAUGGAAGCCACAUGCUAGACUAACACACCUCAGUGAGCCAGUUCAAUUAUUCAGAAGCAGAACUACAGAAUUCAAAAGGCCUAGUACAUUUAGGAACUUUUUCAGAACUAUGGACUGUGAUGGAUUAAGUCCUCUGACAAGCGUGGCUGCCUACAUGCCGGGUUCCAAGACUUGAAUGCCACUUCCAUCCUGGAGACGGUUGUGCUAAAGUUUGGAGUCUGUUUCAUUUUUCACUGGUUCUAUGACCGAGUAAAAUCAAAGUCUUACCUGUAGCCGGAGAGUUUCAUCACCUCCUCAGCAUGAGUAUAUAGCUAAGUAGGAUAUUGAACAAGCAGUGUCCUAUAGUGAGAGUUUGGACUUAAGUAGACUAGUUAGCCAGAGAGGCAGAGAGAACCAGGAUUGGUAUGAGUUGUUAAGAUUUUUGACAGUUUUCCCUGAAGGUUAUUUUAAGCUAUACAUAUAUACAUACAUGCAUGCAUACAUACAUACAUACAUACAUACAUAAAUAUAUAGUUACACAUAUAUAAUUAUCCUUUACUUAUUGCCUAGAAUCAACAAGGUUUUCCUGGUAUCUUACAUUGACCUCCUUUUCUCAUGAAUAGGAAAUCCAAUUUUCUUUGAUUUUAAAGAACAACCUUGGCUAAGAAAUCUAACAGAAUGGGAAACAGAUGGGAAACAGCAUUUUCUUGAUGGUCCAGCUCUACGUCUACUCAAGUACUUCGUUUUUUAAAGUUUUACCUCUCAUAACCAGAGCUGAAACUCUGACUGCAGCAGAGUAUGGGACUUUUGCCCUUUUCAAAGUAAGGGGGAUGGGGAAGCCCAUAAUCUAGAUUUAGGUGGGUUCCGCCUUCUUCUCCAUUGUAGAUGAAAGCGUGUAGCAAACAUGCACAGGGUCACGGAGGAGUAUGUUCCCCUUCAGUACAAAUAAUUUGUGUAUAUUUGGUUAAGAUACUAGUGCAAGCAAGCCAGGGAGUCUUUAGAACCUUGAAUUAUAUUCAACUGCCAAUCCUGGAAUUAAUCUGCUGUGUAUUACUACAGGAAGUUGAAGAUGGGGAACUAGGUAGUAGAUGUCUUGGUGACACUAAACCGGCAUCUGUUCUUGGGGGUCCCCCAGGGUGAGCUUAGGUUAGUGUCAUUUACAGUUGCUAGUUCAUACGUGGAGAUUCUACUAAUUUUCUGGUUCUGGUCUUUUUUCAUUUUUAUACUAAAAUCCCUGGAUAAUGGGAUUUUGAGUCUUUCCCACAGGUGGACAAAACAGACAAAAUAGCACAGCCACAGUUAGAGAGCCCAUGUUUGUCUUAUCUUUAGGGGUUGGAGGACAUGGUAGAGACCCAUCUAUCAAGAUCUUCUGUGGCCUCCUUUAGCUGGGCAUGAUAAAUUCAUAGGAUAACACCAGUGACCUUCACUGAUGUAGGAGUGUUUAGGACAACAGGAUAUGGCUGUAGGUUCUGGUUCAGAAUUCUCUUUAUCCAUUAAAGGUUGCCAGACAUGAACUUGCAGGCUAGCUCAGACACUAGCAAGAAUGCAUCUGCUUGAACCAUCUGAUGAAUAGUCCUGUGGGUUUGUUUCAAAGUCUGUAAGGAGAAGAUGAGUGAAUGGUUAAUAAAUUUUGCCUAAUGAAUAUCUCAAUAUUGGGCAUAUCUGGCCCUUAGGAGAGAAAAAUGUUGGUCCAAUUUGCUCUUCUUGUGAACAUUUUUAUUUUUCUUGUUUUGAGUUUUGUGCUCUCUAGGUAUACAAUGUAGUUUCCAAUCAGCAAAUAGGACAUUUGCCAGAGUUUUGGAAACUUUGUCCAGGAAAGAGACAAAGCCACCGUCAAAUACUAGUAUGAGGGGGCAAACCAAAUUUACUCUAACAUCUUGGCUGGAGUAACUCAGCAGUUUUAGUUUCUCCUAGAUGGGUGACCUGGUAGAAUUUGUCAACUAUCUGUCUUCUCAUAAUGGCAGGGAGCAAGGGUCUCUUUACUGACAAGAACCAUCAACCAUUUACCAUUCGGCAUCUUCUCUUUGUGUCUACUUGGUUUAUUUUUGUAUAGGUUGGGAUCUAAAGCAAUUCAGAAUCAGGCAGGAUAACCAUCAUAUGGAGAUCUUCCACUGGCUCUAAGAUUCUUCCCUCUAAGGUAGCCAAGUCUGCUGUCCUUUUCCUUUAGGUCUCUGAAGAUUCCGGCUGUGUUGCCUUUUACAACGGAUGAUGACUACUUUUUCUUGGCUGGUAAUAGACCUCUAGCAUGGCCAGAGUUUCUUUAUAUUGGUUUUGUUUCUUUAUUUAGCUGAAGUCAGGGACUACUUCCUCCUCCGGCACAGAGGGCUUAAUGGACAUGGACCAUGAAAAAUGUGUACAGAAAAUGUGUAUCUGUGUAAACAGUAAUGGCUUUGCUCUUCUCCCUGGGAAGUGCCUGGGUUAACACCAGAAGCUUUACUCUUUGUAUUGAAGUUUUUGGGGUGAAGGACUGGGCCCCUACCAUCUUGUCCAAGGUGAAAAGUGUGCCCUGGGUUUACCUGAUUUCAUCUUCAAUAAAACUGCUCCCACCAGUGUAUAAGACCUUUUCUGCUCCUCCUGGUAGGGCUUCUGUUAUAUCAGGUCUGAUGGGUUGUACCACGUAAGUCAUUUUCAGGAGAAGCAUAGAUAAGGAAGUAUAAAUAGAGGCUCUUGGUGAAUCAGCACCCCAGUGGAGCAGAGCAGAAAGUGCAGCAGCCACAGAGAUGGCAACAUUUGGGUGUGGGGUCAUGAAGCAUCUGGACCUGGGGUCCUGUAGCAGCUGGAUCUGGAUUCAUGGAUCAUCUGGGUCUGGGGUUCUAAGACAAGGGUUGAUUCCCUCUUUCACUGCAGCUACUAGUGCUUGCAUAUAGUCAGUGCCAGCUUAGAUGAGCUGAACUCCAAGUGCUUGCUAUGCUCCAGGGUAUCCUCCUUCACAAGGCUCUAUGCCAGAUGACCCAGUCUAUAUCUGUUGCCACAUCAUGGAAUUAUACUCUGUUUUGCAUCCAGUUUGGUUGGGGGCAUUUGACGACCUUAAGUUCAUGGCUGGCUUGGAGAAGCUCUCUCAGAUUAUCUAUCAUCUGGCAGCAGGCUGGCUAGGCUCAUGGUUGGAGUUUUAUAGAACUAGAAACUGAACUGAUGCAGAAAAGUGCUCUGCUAAUGCAUUAUUUGGGAGUUGUAAAUCCACCUCUCUGGAAUAUACAACUUCUAUAGGCCUUCCAAAGAGUCAACUACAGAGUGCUGAUUGGUUAGGAUAGUGCUGAUACUUUCUGUCCCAAAGUUAGUUUGCCAGCUUCUUUUGUAGUAUGAUUGAGGUGGCAACUGCCUAUAAACAGGCCACCUAACUGGAAGAAGCAGAAUUAAGCCUUUUGAACAGAUAGGCCACAGGCCUCUUUGAGGGUCCCAGUGCUUUGGCAAGGACACCCUUUUUAAUCACUUAAGUAGGGUGGAUUAUUCUUGUUUCCCUUCCAUUCCUAGUGUCUCUGGUUUCCCUCUAUAGGGUAUCUUUUACAUUGCCUCCAUAUUGUAAAUGAUUUGAAUAUUCAUCAACAUUUGGGACCUGUUCAUAUUCCCAAACUCUUCUUACUUCUAAAGUUUUAUUUUAUAAUAUCUGGGGCCAACUGCAAUAAAAAACAAAUAAACAAACAAUAUAUUUUAGCACCUAUCAUUAGCCUUUAAAAAAGGGCUGGAAAAAUUUUCCCAGAGUCUCCUUGCAUUGGUCAGUCUUGGCGUCCUAGUCAGGUCAGAUAGAGGGGAAAUCUGGUCUAUCCUGGCUUCACUGUCCCACAGCGAUUCCCUUCCUGGCUGGCUUUUCUAUUAUUCUCUGGGGCUUGUUUCUCUAUUCUUAUCAGAGAAUGGUUAGUUCUGAUUGGUGGGUUUUGAAUUGUAUAGACCAAUGGUUGAAAACAGAAUGUUUAACAAAACAGUUGGAGCCUGAGUGAGCACUCCAGCAGUAGGAAGGGAAAGAUUAUUUUCUUCAAAUAGGACUGAAAUAAUAAUUCAGUGUUAUUCUGGGCAACAUGGCCAAUCCACAAGUUUUGGAUCUUCAACAAGAGAACACAAGUGUUGAGUCACAUUUGGGAGAGAAGUGUCUCACACCAAAAAGAGACACUAUUUGGAAAAUGUUUUGGGGUGGCUGGUGUCUCUCUGUCAUACUUCAGAUGACAUGAACUAUACUGGGCGACCUGCAUCGAAAAGAGGGCUAAUCAAUUUCACAGAAGGUCUGUAAUGUCCUGAGUGAGAAGCAGACAUAUUUGUUUUCACCUAAAAACUUCCUUUGGACCAUGGGGACCAAUGCUCACCUUCUCUUCUGAAGAGCUCCCACCAGCAGCUGUAAUUGUGACAUGUAGUCAUAGGGUACACGCACAGCAAAGGCAGGUGGCCUGGAAUAGCUUGUAGGCCUGUGGGAAGUCAUCAGCUAUUUGGGGGGCAGUUUUAGCUACUAUCUUGGGAUAGCUCAUUCCAUUUCCCAUUUUACAUCUGUUUCUCCAUCUCUCAGAACUAACAAAACAAAUUGAGAGACACAAAUGGGAAGACACAAAGCAAAGGCAAACAGAGCUGGCUACCAUUCAUUCCUUUACCUGAACAGACCAGAGGAGUCUAGUGAUAUCUUACAUAGAUCCCAGACACUGUAUCAGUCUCCACUUUGUGUCCUAAACAAAAAGUACCUUAACUAGACUUACUUCUGGAGCCGACAGAUGAGGAAAGACUUAAGUUUGUUCCCUUUUGAGGUGGACAUAUCAGAUUUCUUUGAAACAUUAGUCAGUGAUUGAACAGAGGAAGUCUUGGGCCAUGGAAUUGUCUUAGAUUGUAUAACCUCUAGAAGUCCUUGGACCACCACACUUUUCACUCCUAUGGGCUCUGAGACCCAUGUAGUCUUGAGUUCUGGUUUCUGGAGAUCUUGCUGGGGCCUCCAGAAAUGUUCUAGGGAAUCCACCAGAGAGUACUACUGGGUUAAGUUCAAGCCAAUAAAAAGUAUUUAUUGGUCUGUCAGCAACUACAUUGGGUGUUUGGGACAAAAAUGUGGCCCUAAGACUAUCUCAAGAUGGGUUUAAUUAAAAAGAAAAUCACAUCUUAAAUUGACGUACCUCAGAAAGAACAGUUGUACAGAAGCAGAACUAUGCCAAAAUGCUAGGUUAGCAUAUUUAAGGACUUUCCCAGACUAUGGAAUUUGAUAGAUCAGGUCUUUGUUUUUAUUUGGGCAGGGGGUGUUGCCUACAUGCUGAGUUUUACAACUUAAGUGGUAUUUCCUUAGUUGUGCUAAGGCCCUACUAAGGUUUGGGAGUCUGUUACACUUAUGCCUUCCCAACCUCAUUUCUCUCCCCCCCCUCUCUCUCACACACACACACUCUCUCUCUCUCUCUUUCUCUCUCUCUCUCCCACAAAUACAAGUGAUAAAGUUAAAAAAUAAGAGUUUAAUUGGACGAUAUUCUAUAGUGUCCAUAGGUAAUCACUGAGUUUUUAGAAAUAGUCCUGAGAAAUAAUGGUUUGAAAAAAAUGAGAUGUCUCAAGUUGUUACACUUACUAACCAUAGAUAAGCUUGAUUAUUUAUCUUUAUUCAAUGAGAGCUAAUUUAGGUGAUUUCAUGAAUACAUUGGAGCCUUGAUUUCUGAUAUAUAAGAUAUUCUAGGCUCAUCCAUGAUCCCAAAGAGAUUCCAGUGUUCUUCCUAUUGGAAAUGAUAUUUAUUCAUAACACAGUCUAAUAAUUGAGAGGUUGUUGUCAUUCUUUUUUUGACAAAAGAAAGAAAUUUUUUAAAAGAAAAUAAAAAUAAAUUAUAAGUUUAUACCAGUGGUUCCUGUCCAAUUUAGUACUAUAGAAUUUUUUCUUUUUUGUUGGAUAUUUUAUGUAUUUUCAUUUCCAAUGUUAUCCCCUUUUCUCCCUCUCCCAUUCCCCCUCCUGCUUCCCCUGCCACUAUGAAGAUGAUUCCACUCCCACCCACCAACGCCUCCCUCAAUGCCCUGGCAUUCUGCUACACUGGAGAAACAAGCAUUCACAGGACCAAGGGCUUCUCCUCCUAUUGACGUGAUUCUUCAUUUCUUACCCCUCCCCAUGCUGACAAUCUUUGUUUUCAACAGCACCACUUUGAUUACUCAUUUGUUUUUAUCCCACAUUACAUAUAAAACAUACACUAUGAAACUACCACCAACAAUUUGAUUGCUCAGAGAUCAGCUCAUGAUUUACUGUUUUUGAAAUUCAUUUAACCCUCUGGGAAUACAUUAUAACAGAUGUACUUUGAAAAGCUGCUUGAUUGUAACUUAGAAUGUUUUUUCUCUUAGCUGCAAUAUCACAGACUGGAGGUUUAGUUAGAUCUAUUCGUUUCCUGUGACAUUUAGUAUUUAGAGAGCUUCUACUAAAUAUAAAUUAUAUUUAAUAAUUGUGGGUCUGUUGAGAUGGCUCACAGUUACUAGGGCUUACUGCUUUUGCCAAGAAGAGCUGGGUCAAUUGUCAACACACACAACCAACAGCUCACAACUCUCUGUGACUCCAAGGAAUCUGACACUCUCUUCUUGCUCCUGAGAACAUCUGUACACAUUUGUGUACAUACAUACACACAGAGACACAUGGAAAAUGAAUAAAUAUGAAAAUUAUAAUUAAUAAAGUGUACAAUGUAUAGUAUAAGUGCUAAUUUAUAUGUUUUAGUAAAAGCAUUAGACACUGAGAUAUCAGAUAUGUUGGAUUGCUCUCUUUCCAUCAGGGGAGUUUUAGUGACCAUUCAUAAAUUUCUAUGCUUUGAAAUUUUUUGUUAUAAUAAAAGAUAUAAGGUUCACUCAACUAGACAUAGAUCUAGAAAGAAAAAGAAUGGACCUGGCAGGAACCAAGCACAUAAAGAUGCUUGGCAACAUAAAAACAUCAGAGAUUUUUGAAUCUGUAGAUUGCUUUCAGCAAGAUGGCCAUUUUGACUAUAUUAAUCCUGCCAAUCCAUGAGCAUGGGAGAUCAUUCCAUCGUCUGAGAUCUUCAAUUUCUUUCUUAAGAGACUUGAAGUUCUUGUCAUACAGAUCUUUCACUUCCUUGGUUAGAGUCACAGCAAAUAAUAUAUUAUAUUGUGAAGGGUGUCAUUUCCCUAAUUUCUUUCUUACCCUGUUUAUCCUUUGAGUAGAGAAAAGCUACUGACUUGUUUGAGUUCUUUUUAUAUCCAGUUACUUUGCUGAACUUGUUUAUCAGGCUUAGGAGUUCUCUGGUGAAACUUUUGGGGUCACGUAAGUAUACUAUCAUAUCAUCUGCAAAUAGUGAUAUAUUGACUUCUUCCUUUCCAAUUUGUAUCCCUUUGACCUCCUUUCAUUGUCUGAUUGCUCUGGCUAAGACUUCAAGUACUAUACUGAAUAAGUAGGGAGAGAGUGGACAUCCUUGAAUGGAAAUUAACUCAUUCUUAUCUCCUUGUGUAAAGCACAAGUCCAAGUGGAUCAUUAACCUCCACAUAAAAUCAGAUACACUGAAACUAAUAGAAGAGAAAGUAGGGAAGAACCUGGAACACAUGGGCACAGGAGAAAAUUUCCUGAACAGAACACCAAUGGCUUAUGUUAUAAGAUCAAGAAUCAACAAUUAGGACCUUGUAAAAUUGUUAUGGGAGAGGAGGGAAAAGGGAGGGAUAACACUUGAAAUGUAAAUACAUAUAAUAUCAAAGAAAAAUAAAAUAAUAAAAAUCUGAGAAACUGUUCCAUUCUCUUUGUCAUAGAGAAGAAAGAACUUCAAGCAAUAAUUCCUACGAAAGGUUUGAAAUUGAAGGAAAAUUUUCAGCCACUAUUUCUCACCUUUGUGAUAUUUUUGUGGUCUGGUUACAAAGUUGAUAGUAAGAGAUCAUUUAUGACUUGCUAUUCUAUACUUUUUUCUGACAUCUAUCAUAAACAUUUUCCACAGUUCAGCAUAUUCCCCCCAUUAACAUUUUAAUGAGUACACAUUGCUCCAUCCCAAGGACAGAUCUUAUUAAUUAACCUUAUCACUGCAGAACAUUUAGAGCAGUUGUUCGUUCAUUCAUUCAUUCAUUCAUUCAUUCAUUCAUUUUUUUGCUGUUAUAAUCUUUUUCUUAUUCAAGGAAUACAUGCUAUUUUUUAAAAAAAUCUUUAAAAUAAUUGAGAAAUUAUUUUGUAAUGUGGCCACAGUAGAAUGUGGUAACUUUGAUAUCUGGGUGUAAAAUGUAUUGUCAAACACUGUCUACCAAUUAAGUUAAAUAUUUGUCAAAUAGGAUAUAAAGAAGAACAAAAACAUUAAAAACCAGCUUCCAAAAGAAUAAAAAUAUCUGGGGAUUUUUGAAACUUUGAUUUGAAUUUAGAAUUGGUGACAAGAUCUCUCUGAUCUCAAGACACAGAUAGUGAUACCAGUUAGCAUGUGAGUUAUUUUUCUCUGACAGUUAAUGAAUUAAAAGAUGAGAAAAGGUCUCAGUGCAAAGCAAUGGAGAGAAAUUUAUCAGCACUAUAAGCUUCUGAGUUAGAGAAAGGACCUUCUGGUCCGCGUUGACUCCAACACUCAGAGGCAGUUUGGAUUUUUGUUUGGGUUUAGAGUGGCCCACUCAGGAAUUCCUCUGUCCUUUCAUUGAUUUAAAAGGGGUCUAAGUGCCUCUUCUUGUAGUAGUGACUGCCACAGACUCUGUCCGUGAGUGCUGGGGAACACUAAAUCUGCUCUUUGUGCUAUAACAGGUUCAAGAGGAUCCACUGCAUUCGAGGGUAAAUGCCCUAUGUUUUGGAGAAAUGAAAUUUUAUUGCUGGAAAUAAAAUGUCUAACCACAAAUUGAUGCUUUUUGCCUAUUAUUUGGAGCAAAGGUCAUAAAAGUCCUCCAACUGGGAUUUUUCUUUCCUAUUUUCACAUCCUCAUGGCACAGAAAUUCUAAAUAGUAGCAAGAGCUAGACACAUUAUUGAAACAUAUGAGGCAGAAGAAAUUGAAUAUUAAAAUGACAUGAUCCCUAUGUAUCCAGUUUUUCUUGUAUCAACUUCUUUGCAUGUUUCUCAAGAGGAUGCUAAGAGAUGGAUUCAGUAGAUGAUACAAUCUCUGCAGACUUUAUGGGCAUCCAAUUACACUGUGGCACCCCUUCACCAUCAUCCUAUAUAUUUCACUGUUCGUCUGAGCAUCCUUUGCAGCUCAGUUGGUUACAUGCAGAGCUUUAUCUCAAGAGAGGGGGAUCUCAGUUGCAGAGUUCAAGAUGAGAGAAGACUUGUUACUAAGAUCAAACAAGUUGUUAAAGGCCAGGUUAAUGACUAAGGUUGGCAAAAGACUUUGCAAAAGAAAAUUACUAGCUAAUUAGCAUAGCUGUCUCUAUCCUUACCACUUCUUCAUUUCUCAUUGAAGUCACUGAAAAUCUGAAUGAAAUCAUAUUCAGCCAAAAACGAAGAUAAUUAGUUAUGUUUCCUGCUUGGAACAUGACUGUGUCCUACCCACUUAAAUCCCAGUAGGGAUUAUCUUUGGUGGAAAAGUUCCUGAAAAAUGUCACUGCAUAAUUCAAAAUACUGCCCUUUGUUUAGGUUUACAAAAAAAUCAUUCUGUGAGGAAUUAAAUCUCUAUCAUAUAUCCAACCUUUGGGCAUUUUGACAUGAUAUUGUCAUCUGCAAAGUCCUUGAUAGGAAUCACACAAUAAAGUUACAUAGAAAACUCAGAAAACCAAACCAAACCAAACCAAAUCUCCUCUACUGUUUUCAGUAAAUUCAUGAUUCUCAUUGGGUCAGACUCAUAGCUACUCUAUUAUUGAUGUAAUCUAUAAGCUACAAAUCGGACACACCAGCUUUAAAAUAUCUCGUUCUACAGUCUUAGUGUUUAUAAAAAUUGGCCUUGUCAUUUCUCAAACCAUAGUUAAUUAUCUAGUCUAGUCCAAAUUUUGCUGCAGAAUGUGAGUUUCAGCUGUUGCAAACCUACCUUAAAAUAUCCAAGAUACACCAUAAUAAUGUGUCUUUCUCUGAAUUUAAAUGAUAAUAGUGAAGACCAAAUGUUAAAAGUGAAUUUUAGAACCAUAUUAAAACUUAUCUCUCCAAGAUACACCUGCAUUGGUAAGGAAAAACAUGAGGAUUUAAGAAUGAUGUGCUUUGGAUAUGUGUCUGAAUACCUGAUAACUGUUUUGGAAUGUGUGACCUAGCUUACAGAUAAUAGCAAAAAGGGUUAGAGAGAUUGCCAGACUGUCUGCCCUAGAUCUGGUCAUAUUCUUCUCAGAUAUGAGCUAUCCUCUGCUAGUAUUCUCCUGAUGCCUUGAGCCAUUUCCUUCUAUGCCUUCCCUGUAACUGGAUCCCUCAAACCAAAUUAAACCAAUCUAGGAAAAGCAAUGCUAUGUGUUUACCUACUAGUUUCCCCUAGAUUUUAUGCAGAUUUACAAAAAGUGUAUGACAUUAAAAUAAAGGUAGAAUACAGGAAGAGAAUAGGUGGUAAAAGAAAAGGUAGAGUUUGGCCAGUGCAUGACCAGCAUACAAUUUAUAUCUGUAUAACAACUUAAAAUAUAUCUUUAUCAGGCAAUGGUGGUGCAUGGUAUUAGCACUCAAGAGGCAGAGGCAAGUGAAUCUCAUUGAGUUUGAGGCCAUGUUGGUCUACAGAGUGAGUUCCAUGUCUGCUAGGGAUAUAUAUAUAUAUCCCCUCUCAAGAAUCCCCUAAUUAAUUAAUUAACUAAUAAAUUAAUUAGGUAAAUAAAAAUUUGAAAGUCUCUCCAGUUAUUACCUAGGAAUGUUCUCUAUCCCUUUACUUGCAUUAGCCACAAGCAUUUACUAGGAGAAAAGUCAGUUUUCUAAGUACAAGGCUUGCCUUGGGUAGUGAUUUUGUUAUUUUAAAAUAAGUUGGACACUUCAAUUACUCCAGCUGUGAUUGAAUUAUGAGUUUUCUUUAAAAGUAAUUUUACUGGAGAAACAUUUAUUAUCUGAGAGUUAUCAGAAAGUUCACCACUUUUUCUUAUAAUGUCUAAAUAUUUCUAUAUUAUCAGAAAAAUAGAUUGGUCACAUUCUAUACCCAUGUGUUUAUUUCUUUCUCAUCUAAAAUAAACUAUAUGUCUCAAAAUACUUUCUCUCUCAACUUUACUAUACACUUCUUUCCAGAGCAAGAGAUAAUUUUAAGACUAACACAAUUAUUAACAUUUUUAUAUCAUAGUGAUAUUCAAAACUACCCAAAUGUACUACUGCAUCCAUAGCUAGAGUUUAUUUAUCAAUUAACAUCCCACCUGGCUUAAAUGUUUGUAACCAUGUUUUUUUCUAUCCCUCUUUUACUCCAGGAUAUCCCCUCCAUUGCUUUUGUCUAUGGGAACCUUGGAAAGGAGCUGUGUUUUCAGAGACUGAUAGACUGAUUAAACUGCAAUGAUAUGGAGAGAUUGGAUGAUUGGUUCAGAGACUAAUUGCCAUAUCUUGAGUUAGCUUAAGUUCCUUAAUAGCCAUUCCUUACCCACUUCUAUUUCAGAAUUAACAUCCUAUGCCUAAUAGAUCAAAACCUUCCAGAAUCUAUAACUUAGCAGAUCACUAGUUUCCCCCAACUCAAAAGCUAAAUAUGUCAUCUGAUAGCAUCUUAGAAAAAGAAAAGCUUCUUCUAUCUUGCUGAGAUUGUCUCUCUAAUAUUUACAACAUUGAAAAGUGUCAUAAUUUAUGGCUUUCUUUGUCCCAUUACUAUAGAAUCUUCAUAAAACAGCUUCCCAGUCUAAAUAUGGAAUUUGGGGUGACCUAAAUCUAUAUUAACAGGCCAUGAACACUCAAAUUUUACUCUAGGAUAAAUUAUUAUAUAUUUGUAUUGAGCUGAGAACUGUGUUGUUUGUGUUGAUCCUCUAAUGACUACAUCUCUUUUCCAUGGGUAAUGAGUUUUUUGUUUUGUUUUGUUUUGUUUUGUUUUGUUUUUUACUUGAUCAUAGGCAACUCAACAGUGUCUACACCACUGGAGAAAAGUGGAAGAUUGUUAUUCAUUGCCUAGUAGCCUCCAAGUGCAUACAGUUCCACAGACAGGAAUCAGGCAUGAUCCCCCUCCUGGCCUGUGCUGGAUGAUUAGAUGGCCCAAUCUUGUGUAGGUCUUGCAGGUAUACAGUCAGUGUGCUAUAUUCUAUACCUCUUCGUUGCUUGUUCAUUCAAUGAAGACUCCAGAUAUUAUUUCUACAAAACCUCUCACAAUCUACAGUUUUUACAUUUUGGCCUUCUUAAUGUUUAACAUUUUCCUUUAUUCUGUAUACUUACUAUAAGGUGAAAUCAUUUCAUUUGAGGCUAAUACUUUCUGCCUUUCAUGCGAUAUCAGAUCACUCUGACAUGAAAGAUCUGAACAUGUACACUUGUCUGAUAGUGUGUUACUUUUGUACCUUCCCUUUAUAAUUAUGAGAAAUCUUCAUGAGUACUCUGCACCUCAGCUGCUUUUCCACUAAUAGAUUUUCACAUUCAUUAGCAACUUGGCCCUUAAAAAUUAAAGUCAUGCAAGCUUGCAAAGUGGCCAUGUAUUCUUCCUUUUGUAUUUAUUACACAAAUACUCUAGAAGGAAAAUUUUUUUCUCACUCUCUUUUUCUUUUGUUAGAACAUAAUUACAAACCAAGAUAGUAGAAGGGACUUUUUUAUUGUGUGUGUGUGUGUGUGGGCAGUGCAAGCACAUGUGUCUGUGCAUACACAUGAAGGCAAGGGAAGAUCCUUAUGAUUUCUAAGAUGCUAUCUACCUUGUUUUUUGAGACAAGGUCUAUAAUUGGCCUGUAACACUGUCCUUGUGAUAGUCGGGCUGACCAGCAAGUACAUGAUAUUCAUUUGCCUUCCUUCCUCUCCAUAAAUGGCAUUAUAAGCACUCACUACCUCACCCAACUUUCAUACAUGUGUUCUUGGGAUCAAAUUCAAGCCCUAGUGCUUGCAAGGCUAACUCAGCCAUUUUUGAAAUGGUCCAGGGUUCUUUCCACAGGAAACAGGAUUUAGACAUCAAAAGCUUGGGGCUAGAGAGAUGCCUCAGUAGUUAAGAGUACUGAAUUCUCUUCCAGAGGUCUUGAGUUCAAAUUUCAGCAACCACAUGGUGGCUCACAACCAUUUGUAAUGAGAUCUGAUGCUCUUGUCUGGUGUGUCUGAAGAUAGCUACAGUGUACUUAUAUAUAAUAAAUGCAUCUUAAAAGAUAAAAAAUGAAAUCAAAAGCUCAUGAUUGAGUGUGCUCAAAGAAAUUGAGUCUGGUGUGCUUCCCCCCAUCCCAGACAAGCAAAUAUCAUUGCAAUGAGUCACUUAUCUUGUUCAAGGUUUCUAGUUUAUGAAGCAAUAUAAAUACUGGGCCAUUUGUGGAACUGGUUUCAGAUUUCCUGCUGUGCCAGAGUCAUGGUGAUCCUGCAGUUCUAGUUCUGCAGGACAGGCUACUUCAUGCUCUUCAGCAUAGAUAUUGUGAGGGACUAAUUCAAAUUGCUGGAUCUGGGCCCAAAUUGUAGCUGAACUUUGUCAGCAGGCAGUAGGGGUGGGAUUGGAUCAGGGGUGAGGGGAAUACAAACUCUGGUCCCCUGCAGGAGCAGUACAUAGCUUUAACCACUGUAUUACAUUGGGAAUUUUGGCUUUUAACUAUCACUGUUAACUUAUGUGAAUGGAUUAUAUUUUUCUCCAUUCUAGUUGAUUUAAUUUGUAUAUUAUGGUUAAUUUUAUUGAGAUUAAUUUAGAUAAGCAUUGUCUUUAGAGGUAUAUUAUAUAUGAAUAUAUAUGGAUAUGUUUCAAAAGAUAGUCCCAAUAAUAUAAAAUAAAUAUUAUGUUCAAUAUGUAUUUAAAAGAAUUACUGUAUUUUCAACAAGAUUUAUUUUCAAUUAUGUUUAUAUCUAAGGCCUGGUAUGUGUGCAUGAGGGCAGAUACCUUUGCAGGCUAGAGCACUGAAUCCCUGGAGCUGGGUUACUGGUGUUUAUGAACAGCCCAGUAUGUGUAUAAGAAACUAAACUCAGAUACUCUAAAGGAACAGCAGUGCUCUUAAUCACUAGAUUCCAGUAUUAACUUAUUUUGUUACUUUGUUAAAUUAAAUUUAUUUCUACUUGUCUUCCUCUCAUCCAUCCUGUUUCCUUCCCUUAUGUGAUUCUGUUUCUUUUUAGUCUUCCUUCAGUCAUUCAGAGACAGGAAACAUUUAUUUUUAAAUCUACCGAACUACAGUGUGUUGGUUCCUUGUUUAAACUUGGAGAUGAGGAGGCCAUAGGUACCCCUGAAGUUGCUACUGCAGAAUCAGUCCAAGACCCUGGAGAAAACAAAAUAUAAAAACUAUGGAAUCAGUAGGUUUUGUUCUCUAAGGCCUUUGAAGAAAAUCAUUUAAUGUCCUGGUGCUUUUUCCCCCUCAGUUAUGAAUUAGGGAUAAAAACACCCACUUCACAAAACUGUAGCCAGAAAAGAAGGUAGUUUGUGCAGAAUAAGUCACAGAUUGCUAGCUACAUUGCAAUUGCUGACUGUGUGUUACCCAUUAUCGUAAGUACUAAAAUUAUAGUGAUCAAAAAAAAGGACUUAAAUCAUUCUAUUUGUGUGCGAUUGAGUUGAUUCUAUUUAAUACAAUUAUAAUUUCCAAAGAAUUGGUUAACUUAAAUCACUAGCCAUAAGAAAGUAAGUGAGCCUUGGCAGGGUCACUUAUGGCUCCCAAAGGGCUGUGGUAACAUACUUAUUACUGCUUUUUAAAUGUGUUUUUAGUUUCUAAUUGAAUAUUUAAUUGUAUUAUUUAGUUUGUUCAUGUUUAGUUUCUUGAGGUCUUUAUAUAUUUUGAAUAUUAGCCCUAUGUCAGAUGUGGAGUUGGCAAAGAUAUUUUUCCAGUCUGUAUGCUGCCAUUUAGUCCUAUUGGUAGUAUCCUUUACUCUGUGAAAGCCUUUUAGUUUUAUGAGGUCUCAUUUAGUAAUUGUUGAUCUUACUACCUGAGCUGUUGUUUGUCCUGUUCAGGAAAUUAUCUUCUGUGCCAAUUCAUUCAAGACUAUUCUCCCCAUGCUCUUCCAUCAGAAGAGAUAGUAUACCUGUUUUAUGUUGAGGUCUUUGAAUUACUUGGACUUGAAUUUUGUGCAGGGAGAUACAUAUGGAUUCAUUUUCAUUCAUCUAUAUGCAGACAUCCAGUUAGACCAGCACCAUUUGCUGCAAAGGCUUUUGUUUUUCAAUUGAAAAUUACUAACUUCUUUAUCAAAAAAUCAGAUGUUCAUGGUGUGUGAUUUCAUGUCUUGAAAUUCAGUUUGAUUUGAUUGAUCAAUGUGUGUUUUUAUGUUAAUCUCCAGUCAUUUUUAUUAGUGAAGCUGUAUAGCACAGCUCGAGGUCAGGGGUGAUCAUUCGCUCAGGUCUUUUACUAUAGAUCAUUGUUUUCGCUCUCCUGGGUUUUUGUUUGUUUGUUUGUUUGUUUGUUUGUCUAUAUGAAUUUGGGUAUUGUUCUAUCAAGAUCUGUAAAGAAUUGUUUUGGAAAUUUGAUGGGGAUUGUGGUGAAUAUGUAGAUUGCUUUUUGUAGGAUAGCCAUUUUCACUAUGUUUAUCCUAUCAAUCUUUGAUCAUGGCAAAUCUUUCCAUCUUUUGAUAUCUCUUUUAAUUUCCUUCUUCAACACUUGAAGUUCCUGUCAUAUUUCUCUUUCACUCAUUUGGUUAUAGCUGCCCCAAGAUAUUUUAUAUUAUUUGUGGCUAUUGUGAACGAUGUCACCAUGAUUCUUUCUCAGCUGGCUUGUCAUUUGUAUAUAGGAGAGCUACUGAUUUUUCAAUCUUGUAUCCUACAACUUCACUGAACUUAUUAGCUGUAGGAGUUUUCUGGUAGAAAUCUAACAUGUAUACUAUCAUAUCAUUUGCAAAUAGCAACUCUUUGAAUUCUUCCAUUCCAAUUUUUCUCCUUGAUAUCCUUUAGUUAUUUUAUCAUUUUAGCUAGAACUUCAAGUACUAUAUUGAAGAGAUAGGAAGAGAGUUGACAACUUUGUCUUUACUGGCAUUUCUGUAAGUUUCUCUCCAUUGAAUUUAAUGUUGGCUGUAGGCUUGCUUAAAAUUGCCUUUGUUACAUUUAGAUAUGUCUCUUGUAUCCUUGAUCUCUCCAAGACUUUUAUCAUGAAGAGGUGUUAGAUUUUGUCAAAGAUUUUUUUCAGCAUCUCAUGAGAUGAUCUCAUUUUUUUCAGUUUAUAUGGUGAAUUACAUUGGCAGAUUUUCAUAUAUUGAACCAUACCAGCAUCUCUGAGGUAAAGUGGACUUGAUAAUUGUGUAUGAUCUUUUAAAUGUGUUUUUGGAUUCAGUUUACAGUAUUCUAUUGCAUCUUUUGUAUCAAUGUUCAUAAGGAGAAUCAGCAUGUUUCUUUCUUUGUUGAAUCUUUAUGUGGUUUGGGUGUCAGGGAGAGGGUGACCUCAUAGAAUGAGUUUGGCAAUGUUCCCUCUGUUUCUAUUUUGUGGAGUAAUUUGAGAACUAUUAUAUAGAAUUAGGUCUUCUUUGACAGUCUGGUAUAGAUCGAAACAGAAUUCUCAUCAGAGGAAUCUCAAGUGACCAGGAAACAGGUAAAGAAAUGUUCAACAUCUUUAUCCAUCAGAAAAAUGUAAACCAAAAUAUCUUUCAGAUUUCAAAUCAUACCUGUCAGAAUGCCUAGAUCCAAAACACCAAUGAUAGCUUAUGCUGCCAAGGGUAUGGAGCAAAAGAAACAUUCCUCUCCCAUUGGUGGGACUGCAAACUUGUACAGACACUUUGGAACUCAAUAUGUCAGUUUCUAAAAAAAUUGGAAAUUGAGCUACAUCAAGACCCAGCUAUUCCACUCUUGAGCAUAUAACAAAAGGACACUUCAUCCUAUCCCAGGGAUAUGCACUCAGUUUUGUUCAUAAUAACUAUAUAUAUAUCAUAGCCAGAAACUAAAACAACCAAGAUUUCCCUCAACUGAAGAAUGGAUUAAGAAUAUGUGGCACAUUUGCACAAUGGAGUAUCACUCAGCUGUUAUAAGCAAGAACGUCAUGAUAUUUUCCAGCAAAUAGAUAGAACUAGAAAACACCAUCCUGACUGAAGUAAUCCAGAUCCAGAAAGACAAACACGGUAUGUACUCACUUAUAAAUGGAUAUUAGUGGUAAAAGUAAAAUGCAAUCUUGCUGCAGUCCACAGACCCAGAGAGGCUAAGCAAGCUUUAGAGCUUGAAGGAGUGGUACAAGGUUAUCCCAGAAAAGGGGAAAUAAAAUAGAUUUUGCAGGUGGACUGGAGACUGGUGGGGUUGGGAACAGGAAAGAUCAGACA